GCGGGAGUCGCCCAGCCCGGCCAAAGGCGUAAGGUUCAGGUCCUUAUCUCUCAGGAGUUCGUGGGUUCAAAUCCCAUCUCCCGCACCA
rnacentral:tRNA from 2 species